CAGAAUAAUUGCAGUAGUUGCAGAGAGUUCAUGACCCGAGUUUGGUCCUCAUCACUAGCCAUCACCUGGGUUUAGCACAUACGAGCCUACAAAUCGAUCAAAUAACUGGCUCGAUCUAAAGAAAGACUAUAUAUGCAGUAUUGAUUCUCUAAAAGAGUCUCUGACCUGACUUAAAAUGGUGGUCAUUGUAUAUUGCAGUAUUGGUGACUCAUUAGAUUUAGCACCAAUUGACGCCUUCCUGCUUGCUUGUUAUGACAACGAUGCGGAUGAAUAUGAAACCAUUCGCAAAAUAGGAAAGACGGUCAAGAUAAAAAGAAGAAUUACAUUAAGGGUCUGUUUGUUGUGCUAAUUGAUUGUGAACCUCUAUAUUUGAUCCGUCUACUUCAGACCAAUUCGGGUAUUGGAUUAUGCUGAAAAACAUUCAUCACUGCCAGCCAACUCUCAUUCUACAAAGGAGGUUAUAAAAUGUGUUCAGAAUUUUGACUCAUUGGUUAUUUCUUUGUAUUUAUGUUAGUUUUUAGGAUGCCAAAAUUGUGAAAGAAGCGUAUUAUGUACUUCCUGUAUGCUCUUCUUUCUGGUGGUGUAUGGAAUUUGCCCAAAACUUGUUUCUUGUCAUUGGUUGUUCCACUUUUUUCCCAUCCAGAUCUUAGAUAAAUUUUCCAUAUGUUACACCAAUUGUUCUGGAUUCUGAAUUGGUAGCAUAUGAUCGCAAGAAGCAAAAACUUCUUCCAUCUCAGAUUCUGACUACGCAUGCUCACAAAACGUUGUAAUGAGUGGAAUCAAGGUUGACGUCAAAGGAUCCAGAGGAAAGUAAAAAAAAAAAUGACACUGCAGUGGAUGAGAGUUUGGGACCUAAUGGAUCAAGCUCCUCCUUGGCUGCUAUGAAAGAAAUGGGCGUUGCGUUGUGGAAGGAACGUUCUGCUCUGAGUUGGAGGCAAGAGCUCCUUCCCUCCCUUUCUUAUCGACAUUAGCUGUAUCCCAUAUUCCCAUAUGUACUUCUGUUGUUUGAAGCUUUAAUAAGUAACUAUCAAAUUUUUAGAUGUAGUUUCGAAUUUCUCGGUCCUAAAAGGAGAAUUAAAACCUCUCUGCAACACGGUGUAUUUGAUAAGCUAAAGUAGCAAUCAUCCUUCUCUUUA